rnacentral:rRNA from 2 species
AUGUGAAACAAAGUCAAUUAGGCACAAAUGCACCGCAUCCCAACAGAAUUCCACAAUCAAGCGUGCUUGGGCGAGAGUAGUACUAGGAUGGGUUACCUCCUGGGAAGUCCUCGUGUUGCACCUC